AAAUCUCUGCUUUGGCUAAAUAAUAUUUGAAUUACCAUUACAAGAAAGGAGAACCUUAUUUUUCUUACAUUUUUGGUAUAUUUUCCCUUAAUUAUCACACUGGCAAACAAUGUACACUCUUUUGUAAUGAACUACCCAUAUACAUUCCUAUAAGGUAAAAGGGUUAUGGCCUCUAUAUCACUCAGUGAAGUUAUGUGGAACAAAAAUAAUCAUUUAUAAGUGGUUUCAGUUUUACCUUUUUGAUGGUUUACCUCUACUAACUCCUAGUAAAAUAUAAUUUCUUCUGUUACAGCUGAUGAAAAAAAUCAUUAUGGCUUUAAAGCAUGAGACUAUAAAAAGCUGCAACUAGUUUAGAUAUCAGUUAGAAGUUAAUUCUGAGUCACUGCAAUUGAAAACAUCAGUUUACAACAUUUACUGGGUUGCUAUAAAAAUGUAUUCCCCUGUGUUACGUUAAACAUGAGAAAUUGCACCUCAGUGUUUCCAUUAUUUAUAUAUUUAUUCAUAUCUUGCUGCUUUUGAUUCAGCUGUGUAAGUGUAUGCAAAACAAAUAACUACUGGGGAACAGAAUAAUUUGUAUUUUGAGGGGAAUAAAUAUCCUGAAGGAUAUUUCUUGUGGGUGUGAUGGCACCUAUAAAGAAUCACAUGGAUUUUGCAGACAAAAUAUGAGAGAGAAAAAGUAGAUGAGAUAUUUUGGGCCCAGCAACCUUGACAUUGGUCUGUUAUGGAAAGGAAAUUAAUUGUGUUUUUUUUUUAAAUCCUCAAACAAAUUCACAUCUUGAUACACAGUGUGAGGCCCCUAGCAUAUUUUACAAAGGUCCUGAAAAAGAUUUACUAUCAGUCCCAUACAAAUAGAAGGACAAUGGGUCAGACCCUGGGGACUGUUCAUGCUGCACCCAUUACCGCUCUAGGGGUAGGGGAAUUGGAGAUGGGGUACAAAGGUAGCUAUAAGCCCCUUUACAUUGCCCUGAUCAGUCCCAGGAUUGUUAGGUUCUGGUCUGGUCUCCACUGCAAGACAGAACAGACAGACCUGCACUGUCCUACACCUGGGUGCCUAUGGCCUCCAAGGACAGUUUCAGCAGCUAAGGUUUGGCUCGAAGUUAUGGCCCCCUGUGCUGGGAGUUAAAAGGAAUGGCAUAGAAAGUGGCCAAUGAAAGAUAUUUAUUUUUUUAAAAGGCUAUUGAUUGUCCAUCAAUCUUUCUAUUGAAGACUGGAGUCAUGGCAACAAAAUAACAUAUUUUAUUUAAGAAACAUACCCAGCAAAGUCAUAAAUGUGACUUUUGUGACCAGCCAUUUCUGGGACAGAAAUUUCUCCCCCUUUGUAAAUUCUAUUUUAUUUCUCCCCCUCUGUAAAUUCAUGGAGUGCCCUGCAUUUGACUUAUCUUCUGCUGUUCUUCAUGUCCUCUACACAAAAGAUUCUCAUGUAAUGAAAACCAUGUUGCUAGUUCCUUUAGUGCGAUCCAGAGUUGCUCCUGAGUCACCUAGAACUGUAGCUUCUGCUGAUAUGAAGACUUCCUGCCUCACGGAUAACAUGAUGUGAGGCCCUACUUGCUCCAGAGCCUGAUUGGCGUGGAUCUCCCAGUACACAGAAAGGCAAAGCUGUCUGAAAAUAGAAAAAGAGGAAGAGACUGCAAAAUCUACCAAACAAAUAUGAAGAAACUGUUUUUGAAAGUAAUUUAGGGUGAGAUUCAAUAGAAGUGUGUCUAGUUUGCACGCUACUGUGUCUGCACAAGAUUGUGCAUGCCUAGAGAAACAGAGUAUUAUUUUAAGUUAUGUACAGGUUUCCCUGCUGGGGAGCUGGAAAGAAUGGUUUAUUUAAUCUGAUCUUUUGCAUUUUAUGAUAGUCUGAGCUGGUGUUAAAAAUCCAGAAAUUAACAUGUUGGUUUUGUAACUUUCGGAACUAAACAUCUCUUCUCUGAUUUUGUUCUGAAUGUAUUGUCUUUCAUCACCUUAAAGCUGGGGUGGGGUUAGCAGCUACAGAGCCAGGCAUUAGGCUCUGGUUCCAUUUCUAUUGCAGGGUGUAGGCCAGCAAUGCUAAUACAGUUUUAGAGGCAAAUCCCCAAUUCGGCAUCCAGCCCAUUUAGCUGGACUGGGUAGUGAGGAAAUGCACUAGGGUGACAAAAAGCUUUAACCCCCCCCUACCUUCCCCGCCCCACACACACAUAGGCAAGAAUUAAGAGAAAGGCAGGAGGGUCCUCAGGCCCACCUGGGCUCUGCCUGCUGCAGGCUGUCUUACAGAUAUCCACCACGGAGUUGAGCUUCCACCAUGUAAGAGUGAGUAUCUUCUGUCUUACUUCCAAAUCCUUCCCCCUCCCCAUACAGUGAAAUCACAUCUGCCAGGGGCCACCUGCAGUUCUUGAGGUGGGGACAACAUUUACCCCUUGGUCCUUCCACAUACGUACAUUCCCACUGAUGAUCUGGCUAAUAAAUUCUCUUUCUCCUUCCCUCAGGAGAUAAAGAGCACACUUAGAAAACAUGGGCAUGACACACAUACAGCAGUAAACUCAUAUCCACCUGAAUGGGCUUUGAGCAGGAGUUUGGCAUUCUCAACCUGGGAUUCAUGUUGGCCUGAGAUUGGUGGCAUGUUACCGUACACUUCUGACAAGGUUAGCAGGAUGUUCCAGGUAUGUUUAUGCUACACAGCAUUGCCAUGAUCCUUGCCUGAGGGGAAAGACAUACAUGAAAUAAGGAGCCCUGAAAAGAAGAGGACGUAGGAGCUGUGAGGCUCAGGAGGACAUGAGCAUGCUGGACCAGGAAGAUGAUGAGGGAGCAAGGACACCAGCUAGCAUUUCCUGAGCCCCCUGAUUCUCAGAGACAGUCUGAUAGUCAAGAUUUUCCUUAGUUUGACAACAAAACUUUUACGCUUACAGAAGAAGUGAGAUUUUAGAAGGGCCUUCUUCGGACACCCAACACUAUGCAGGACACAGAUUUUCCAUACAUAAAGUUCACUUUGCUAACUCUCAAUAUAUGAAGCCAUAAUAAAGCCACAUUUCGUACUGAGCCACAAUUUACCUAGCCAUAAUGGAUUGGAGUGGUGCCUUAUGGAUUAUCCAUAUUAUCUAUGAUAUCUCCAUUCUAAGUGAGUACUACUGAUUAGUACAUAAAAUAAAUUGCAUUUAUUAUUUCUUCUACUGCAUAUCUUCCUGUUGUUGCACCACAUUCCUAAGCAGAGAUCCAAAUUUACCUUAUUAAGCAAUGAUACAAAUGAUACAAUCCUAAGUGUGUUUUUUGUUUGGUUUUUGCCAUAAUGGUGACCUCAACUGUGCAUUCCUUGUUCACAGAAUGAAUGAAUUUUCAGUGUGCAAGGAAUUCUGGUUUGGGAAGGAACCAAGUGUGCAGUGUGCAAGGAAUGCCCUAUAUCUUUUGGAAAUACUAUUCUGGAAAGAUGCAGUUAUCCUAUCUGUUAUUAUGAUAGCAAGCCUGAGUGGAACUCCCUGUCUCUCUGCAUUAUUCUGUUUUACCUUAGGUCACUGUUACUGAGUGGUUGAUGAAAUAUGAUUUGAAAAUGUUCCUUAAUGCCUGCUGCAAGGGGGCCCCACCCCAUCCUUCCCUUAUUUAAAACAUUCCUAAAGCCAUUUUCCAAUGAAAUCCCACUCAAGUGGACUGACUCACAUCAGAAGACAUUCCAGAAAGAAGAAUAAUUACGCCAUUGCUGGAAUUGAUGUAAUGGUGUUUUUCAGGAUACUUUAAUAGACAUGAGUGAUGUUUUGGCAGGCAGUUGAAAUAACCCUAGAUAUCUGAUUGCAUUACUGACUGCAACCAAGGGACAUCUCUGGGGAAAGAGCAUUACUUGAGGUACUUUCUUCAUAUUUGUAACUUGCUGUAGUUAUCUUUUAACACGACACAGGAUUUUUUUUAAAAGACAGACAUAUUGGAGAGUUUAAUGGAGAAGUAUAACAAAAUGUAUUUACAAACUGAAUUCUAAACAUACACAGAUUCCAAGAGACAGGCUUAUGUAAACAUCAACAUAAUUCUCUGGGUUAUGUGCUGUUUAAAAUAACAUUCAGUUUUGGAUUUAGCCCAAAAGGUUGUCACUUAACAGCAGCAUUUCUUUUGUAAUCUGUAUGGUUUGGAUUUAUUAUAAUUUUAAUUUUAUCUUUAAAAGGUAAUGGUUCUUUUCCCCUUCUUUGGAAUAUUCUGAACGUCACAUUCAUUGCUCUCAGUUAUUUAAUUGAGCUUUGUUACAAUUUGACACUUGUACUUCUCAUAUAUGUAGUUUUGGGGCUGGAUGUUGAUUAGCUGUAAUGUAGACGAGUGGAGGAUUGGUAGGCAGUAAGGCCCACGAUGCCUGCAAAGCUGCAUUAGAAUGACAUAUGCUGUGACUCUGCAAGAGAGCAGCACUGGGGCAAGUGGAAAGGCAAGGAGUGGAGGGAGCCAGGAUAUGCAGGCCAGAAGAGAGGACUGCACACAAGUGAGUUAGGGAAGCAAACUGCCUUAUUUUCAGGGCUGUAGUAAGUUAUUUCCCUUCUCCCACUCCUGGAGCAAGAAGGGAGGAACUGUGAGUCAAUUCCUUCCCAGUUUCUGAGGUAGCGCAGUUAAGUGCCACCCCAUACUCCAGACUGUGCCUAAAAUGCCUAACAUCAUCCUAAUUUAUUAAGAAUCUCUCUCUUUCGCUCAUAGAAAUAUGUUUAUUCUUGCUCUCUCUCUCUCUCUCUGUAUGUGUUUUAAUACCAUACCAUAAUUAUCUUAUUAUUAAAUGCAGUAAACACACUGGACCAAAAUGUGCCCUUGUUUAACACCCACACAGCCCCACUGAGGGCUCAAUCAUUGCCUUCACAUCUAAGCUAUUUAUUAAAAAAAAAAAUCUGAGCAUUGAUGUUCCUUUUUUUUUUAUUUCUCAAAGCCUAGUCAUUUAACUACUCUCCUCAGGUAAACAGGUCUUUUUCUUGGUCUGGCAUGCUGAUAAGCCUUCACACUUGGCUGGGCCUGAGGUGCGUUUGUGCAAAGCCAGAUUGUUUUAGUUAACAUAAUCAGUGAACUCACUGUUCUACCUGGAUGUCUGGGAGAAUUGCCAAGAGAUUUCCCAACAUUUCAAUCAGAGACAUAGGCUAUAAAGCUGUCAGUUUUCUUGUAGGCCAAUUUGCCUUUGCCAUGGUUCUAACGUUCUAUUCAUUUAUAAAGAAAUCAGCCCAGGUCUUUUGGGGUAAUAUUUUAUGCUGGUUUCAAUUUGAAGAAAGAGAGAGAAAGAAAGAAUCUUUCUUUCUUUCUUUACAAAAUAUGCAUUUUUAAAGAGCAUUUUCCUGUCACAGGAAAAAGUUUCACACUAUGAUUUUGACACAAUAGAAAAAAAGAAAGCUUCCAUUAUUAUUAUUAUUUUGCAGUGCUUGAGCCUGGCUCUCUUCAUAUAUUGCCCCAAUCUCAAGUGACUUUGUUCUUAAACAAAGAAAUUGAGCUAUUCAGGUCAAAUAUUCAAGUAUAAUAUUGGUCUGAGAAGUAAUUACAAUCAGCGAUAUGUUAAACUACCUGAAAAUAAUUCACCUCCACAGCAAAAAAAUAUACCUACAAGUUUAUGGAUUUUAGGUCAUUGUUAUCCACCCUGCUUCCACUUGCUAUAAUAAAUUUUGGUGAAAUAGCUACUACUGAGUACUGAAUUCAAAAGAUUUGUUUUCCCAAGCAUUCCAUAUUCACCACGUUGUGCCAGAUUACAUCAUGUAACCUCCAAAUAUGUCAUGUCACUUUUUUCAGAUGACUUGAUGCAGUGGGACAUAGUAUCACAUCCACUUGAAAUUUCUUUAAUAUUCUCCAUGGGAACUUUUCGGUAUUUGGUUCCUUGGCUGUUUUUCAAAUGGAUAGCUUGGUACAUUUAUGACUUGACCGGGCAAUGAAAAGUGUAGAUGAUUCAUAUUGUUCAGCAAUACUUCAAAUUGCAUUGAACAGAUGAAAUGCGUGACAGAAGUGGAGAGAGAAUGCAGAGUAUGGAAGCAUAGCACUCAGUAAGCCUGCAGGAGAGGUAAGCAGAACCAUCAAAUAUAGUUUGUAGGAGUUCUCCUGCUAUUUAAUGAUUUUGAAGUUUUUUUAGGCCUGCAGGUCAACAUCCCAAGAAGAUGUCGGAGCAACUAAGAAGGAAGAUCAAGAACCUGGGAAAUAGGGAGAGACAGGUUCUCUGGAAGGGAAAGCUGGAAAUGAAGCAGGUUAAGAGCUUCACCUGUCACAAAAGAAUUACACUUGCAAUAAGGCAGAUGUCAAAAAGACAGUAUUAGCUCGGAAGACUUCAAAACAGGUGUUUGGAAGAAGGAGAGAAUCUCAUUCAUAACCUAAACUGAAAAUAUUCAACAUAAACAGCAUCUUACUUGCAUCAAGACUAUAUCAAGGCUUGACAAAUUCACCUGUCUGGUGCUUCAUGCAGCUGAUUUAUCUGCCUGGACAGGUGGAAAACUGCCUAGACUUAUCCGUGAGUAAAGUGGAGUUGUUAGUGCAGUGCCAUUGAGGAAGUGCUUUCUCUCACUGCAACAGUCGGAGUAAGCAUGUUACAGUGCUACAAAUUAGCAGACAGUUUUAAAACAGUUCCCAAGCAUUGAAAUUAGAAGUGCUUAAUGCAGAAUUCAUAUUUUCUAGCUCAGUCACAACGGGACUCUGGUGAAUUUAAUUUUUAUUGCUUUCAUGUUGUAACAGUCAUUUGUCUUUUGGAGGCAAUCAUGGGAGCAGCAUUACAGCAGGACAUAUGAAGAUUCUUGUUUGCAUCUUGUAAUCCUGAUGAUAUUAAUUCUUUACUCCAAGCAAAUGCCACCUGGAAAAUAAAAUUCUGUUCUUACACUCGUACUCAUGUUGCACAAUACUCCCACUGAAAUAAAUGGAUCUCUCGAUAGAAUAACAUUCUAUUCAAUAUGAUAAGGGUAGGAGAAUCCAU